rnacentral:misc_RNA from 1 species
AGCAGCCGCGGUAAUUCCAGCUCCAAUAGCGUAUAUUAAAGUUGCUGCAGUUAAAAAGCUCGUAGUUGAAUUUCGGGACUAAUAUGUCGGUCGUGCCUCGGUACGUACUGGUUUAUUGGUUUCUCCUUUCUGAAGAACCAUGAUGUCAUUUAUUUGGUGUCGUGGGGAAUCAGGACUGUUACUUUGAAAAAAUUAGAGUGUUUAAAGCAGGCUCACGCUUGAAUACAUUAGCAUGGAAUAAUGAAAUAGGACGUUUGAUUCUAUUUUGUUGGUUUCUAGGAUCGACGUAAUGAUUAAUAGGGAUAGUUGGGGGCAUUAGUAUUCAAUUGUCAGAGGUGAAAUUCUUGGAUUUAUUGAAGACUAACUACUGCGAAAGCAUUUGCCAAGGAUGUUUUCAUUAAUCAAGAACGAAAGUUAGGGGAUCGAAGACGAUCAGAUACCGUCGUAGUCUUAACCAUAAACUAUGCCGACUAGGAAUCAGACGAUGUUAAUUUUUUAAUGACUCGUUUGGCACCUUACG